UACGGAGGGUGCAAGCGUUGUUCGGAAUCAUUGGGCGUAAAACGCGUGUAGGCGGCUUGGCAAGUCGGUUGUGAAAGCCCGGGGCCCAACCCCGGAACUGCAUCUGAAACUGCCUGGCUAGAGUCCCGGAGAGGAAGGCAGAAUUCCCGGUGUAGGGGUGAAAUCCGUAGAUAUCGGGAGGAAUACCAGCGGCGGAAGGGCGGCCUUC
rnacentral:rRNA from 1 species